GUUUCUAAAGUAUUGGAGGAGUUUGAUGUUGAAGAGCAACCGAAAACCAUGUUAGAAAAUCGCUUUCCCAACAUUAAGAUUAUAGAAUCCGGAGUAAAGCAACUAAAGAGUAAAGAACACUGCAUUUUAACAGGAGAUGGCAGUCAGCAUGUGUAUAAGAAACUCUGUGUGCUGGAGCUAAACCAAAGUUGAUAUGUGAAGGAAAUCCUUACGUAUUAGGAAUCCGUGAUACAGUGUUCAGGAAGGAAAAAGGAAACACAGACCAAAGCUGGUGCUGGUAAUAUGGGCAGUGCCUUGGGACCUGAUUGGCAUGAAGGCUUGAAUCUUAAAGGUACAAGAGGUAUGUGUUCAUAUACUAAUUAAACCUAAGAUGCAAUUUUAAAUUCUUGAACCAUUCAUUAAAGACUGAUUACAAGUAAGUCAAACAACUGCUAGGUCAUUUUACUUAAAAUCCAAAGUGCUAGGACAGACAGGACCAAUGGCAUGUGGCCCAGUUCCUUACCAGGUAAGUAUGUCAUUCAUCUAAAACUGACUCAUGCCCUUCUUUUUAGUUCCCCAGGCAGAGAGAUUUCCAGGCUUGGACUACAAGUGAAUAUAACUGUCCUAUAUUAAAUUAAUCUUUUCUCAAAGGUCACUUCACAUGCAUUACAACAUUUCAAAGUUUAUUAGAUGAAUUCUAAAUAAAAUAUGUAUUUAACACCCUAAUUGGAUAAGCAGAUGACUUGCUUUUACUCAUUUUAUUUAUUAGAUACAUUAUAUUUAAAUAGUAAAAGGCUGUGAUAUUUAAGUACUGUAAGAAGCAUACGUGGAGUCCUUAUUACUGUGUAUGAUUUCUUUUCAGCCUUGGGUAGUUUGGAGGGGAGCUGGCUUCAUGGCAUAUCUAAUUUUUGUGAUAGAAUUAUACAGAAUCAUUUUUUCCUGCAUCUUCAGAUCCAAAGAUUAAUAGUAUUUUUAACCUGAGAACUUCAGCAGUUUGGUUCAGUAAACAUUAUCUCCUAUGUACUUGGCACUUUCCUAAGGUUCUGGAUAUAACAGUAAGUCGGCACAGAGUGCCCUCAAGAGGCUUUUAUAGUCUCUAGCAGUUGUAAUUUUUAAAGACUAUAUUUGAAACUAUCAAUGAAGCUUAUACUAAAAAGUAUACCCUUGGUAUUACCUGCCAAUGCAACUACUUGUUCUCUUAAGUUCUGAGUGGAUUUCCCUCCCUUCAUGCACAAAAAUCGUGAAAGGCUUGUUUUGGGGCAUCCAGUGUGUUUCCAUUUAUAUUGUUAAGAAUUAUUUUUCUGUAUGUUUCUACAAGUGUAUUGUAAUUUUGGGGGGGAUGUGUUAUGGUGAUCAGCAUUGCUUUUAGUUUUCUUGUAAGAUUCACAUCGAAACUGUAUGUGAAGUAAAGAAAAUCUACCUUCAGGAAGAAUUUAGAAUUUCUAAGGAAAAGUCUUUGCCUUUUCCCAGAGACCACUAUAAUCACUCAGUCACAACUGAUAAAGGAAAUUCUACAUCCAACCUGGGGCUAGAACUCAAAACGAGAUCAAGAGUCGCAUGCUCUAUUAACUGAGAAGGCUAGGUACCCCUUAAGGAGUGUUGUUUUAAAGUCCUCUCCUGCCUUCUUUCUUUGUUCUAGGCAUUAUGACAUAAUUCUGUGGACAGCUGAUGGUGAUUACAUUUGAGAUUAAGGGGGGUUUUUUGUAUUUGUUUUGUGGGGUGUUUUUAAGAGGUAUUUAUAUGUGGAAUUGACUAAUGAAAAGAAAAACGGCUGCAGGAGUUAACACCAAAUAUAGAACCUUUUCUCUAUGGCAACAAUGUAAGGUGAAAUUUUUUGUCCUGCUAUGAUGAUUUUUAACUGUUCAUUGUCUUAGUGUAAAACUGUAACUUAAGGAAGCUGAAAACAAUUUAGUUUACAGUCAUGUUUUGAUUUACAGUAUUUCGUAUUGCCUAAAGUCCUUAAGCAGUAAACGUCCCAGCAUCAGUGUCCUCAUAAAUGGGACAUAAUGCACAGUUCAUUUGCCUAAAGGUUGAUGAGACAGACACCUAUGAAAUCUUACAAAUGAUUCUUUUAGAGAAACUAUAUUUUCUUCCUUUUAGCAUUUGAAGCUCAGAAAACUGAGGAAUAUUGUAAUUACAAGUGGGGUAAUCAUAUGGUUACUGAGUGUUUUUGAUCUUAAAAGUCUACGAAUGUUUUGGUUGGUCUGUCCUAGUAGGAUUUUGAUUCCCUGGAAAUUCAGCUGAGUUGUCUAAACUUGGCAGCUGUUUUUUACUCGCUCACCGAAGAUCAGCAUACCAAGGUGUAAAAAUGACUUGUUUACUUUAGAUCAAAAAAAAAGACACCUUUCAUUUUUCUUCCCAUGUAUGCUUAUCAGGAAUGUUGUUUAGUUUGAUCUAGGAGAAGACGGAGGCCUGAAAGUGGAUGCUCACAUGCACACGUCUCUCUCUGAUGUCUAUGCUGCGGGUGACAUCUGCACCGCAUCCUGGAGGCCCAGCCCGGUGUGGCAGCAGGUAAGCCGGCAUCCACCAUCACACCUUGUAUCAGAUUCCAUCUGACGGUACAGGAGUGAGUCACUACCAGCAAAUCCAAAUUUCUGGUUUUCCCACUUUGCUACUUUAAGUAGGAAGUUAUCCUAGAGUUUUGGUGACAUUUUAAAAAAAAGGAUGUUCCCCUUUUGGUAAGUUAUGAUAUAGUGGUGGAACACACUGGGAGCAGCACUGUCCAGUGGAACUUUCUGAUGACAGAAACGUUCUGUAUGUUUGCAGUGUCCAGUCAGGUAGUCACCAGCUACAUGUCUCUGUUGGCACUUAAGAUGUGCUGAAUGUGACUGAGGAACUGAAUUUUAAUUUUACUUACAUUUAAGUUUAAAUAGCUCCCUGCAUCUAGUGGCUACCAGACUGGACAGCACAGCUUUAGAUGAAUAAAUAACAUACCGAGGUGUAAACCGUAUAGAUGAAUGAUGGCCCCAUGGGAUCCUGAUGACCCAGUUCUGUCUCUGUGGGAAUUAUGACCGAAAAAAUUUCCUGAAGCAACCAUUCUUCCUCAGCUACACGACUCUCUCCAUCUGGAUGUCCACAUCCUCCUGCCCUCACGGUGCUGCCCGCCUCCUCACGGUGGAGCAGAAGUCCUUGAGGAAGAUAUUCAGACCGCGGCCGUAGGCGAGGUGGUCUUAGGAGGAGUAGAGACACAGGUAGAUGUUACAGAUAAAAGAACCAGGCAACACUCGGUGAAAGACCAGCUCCACAGGUAGAGAUUUUCCUCCUGCAGAUUAACUGUGGAAUAUGAAGUAGCGGAAGGGCCAGAUGCAUUCUAAGAGGCACCUUCAAUACUUUUGUUUUUACAGAGAUAACAGUUAUAGGAAGAGUGCUUUCGGCCUCUUUCUAAAGUGCUAGCUUGUUUUCAGUUUUCCGCCUCAGUCAUUCUCUGUCACUCCUGUGGCCUGUCAUCAACCCUCAAUUAGGAAUUGGGAGUUUGUGGGGUUUUUAACAUUUUAAACCUUAUAGAGUAAAUUAUAUCUUUAAUAGGUGUCAUACUCUGCUACAGGCAAUAUCCAAAAAUAAACAGCUGUCUCUUGUUUUGAGUGAAUCUAAUAGACCUUGUGUCUUCAUUUGUAGGAGCAAUAAGUAAGUACACUAAUUAAUUAGUUUUCCAUGAUCCAAGACCCAAACUGGAGGGACUCAGAGGCUGGUGUAAUACUGCCGGCCGGCUGCCUCCUUUAGCCAUUCUCGAGUGUUGUGCUCAGUUUGCUCUGCUCCCUUCCCACAGCCCCUCUUUCACUUCAUCAAACCAAUCCUGUUAAUACACAGGAGACGGAAUUUCAAAAAAAAAAAAAAAUUAUCAGGGUACCUGGGUGGCUAAGUUGGUUAAGCAUGUGACGCUUGUUUCACAGCUCAGGUCAUGAUCUCGGGGUCGGGGAUCUGGCCCCAUGUCGGGCUCUGCACUGGGCAUUGAACCUGCUUAGGAUUCUCUCCCUCUGUCCCUCCCUGCUUGCACUCUUUCUUUCUCUCUCUCUGUCUCUCAAAAAAUAUAUACAUAUCACUUCUACCAAAAAUGCUUGAAAAUCACAGCCAUGAUUGUGGUGGUAUUUUUGCACACAAAAGGACAUUCGUUACACACAGGGGUAUAAGGUACACACAGGGGUGUAGGUUAGCUUAUUUAAUUCUCUCAGUAGCCAUGGAAUAGAUGGUGUACAUUUAUGUUUCAGGUAAAGAAAUCAAGUCUCAAAUAAAAAGUUAAAUAUGUACAAGAGUUGGUAUUUAAAUCUCUUGGCUCCCAAGGUAAGUGUUUUAUCAGGGAUUCCCAAAACUUUGUAGAAAUACAAUAAAAAUACAGUAGAGGAGAAAUUAGCAGUGUUGUAAGGAAAGAAUUUAAAACGAAUUUCCAGGGGCACCUGGGUGGCUCAGUCAGUUAAACAUCUGCCUUCGGCUCAGGUCAUGAUCCCAGGGUCCUGGGAUCGAGCUCUACGUCGGGCUACCUGGUCAGCAGGGAGGCUGCUUCUCCCUCUGCCUGCCUCUCCCCCUGCUUGAGCUCGCUCUCUCUUUCUCUCUCAAAUAAAAAUGAGUUCCCAGCAUUGGUUGCUGAAAUCAGAUAAGAUUUUCUUAGGCUGGACAUCACCUAUUAUAUCGAUCUGCCUGACCAUUGAGGUUUAACUGCAUGGGAGGCCUUAACUAUCUAGCACAAAAAACUAAGGAUUAGGAAAAGGAAUGAAUUUUUCAAUGAUAAUUUGUCAUCGCUACUUAUGCUGAUAAUGAACUCACUCUGAAAGAAGAGACUAGUUAAUAAGUAGUAUUCUUACCUUAGUGUAGCCUGAAAUAUUUUAAUUAUUUUUAAUGGAGAGCUUAUUGAAACAUACAGAGUUGGUAUCAUCCUUUCAUUUUAAAGGCAAUAAUUUGGAUAAAAUUAUCAGAUACCAAAAUCAGUCUGGUUGGUGUGGACUGGUGACUGCUUAUCUAUGCCAGAGACAAUCCAGCUAGUCCUCUAGCUCGCUAGAUCUAGCAAGUCUCAAGGACUGUCAACAUUGAACCCCUUCAAGGAAUUUUGUAAGGCAUCUUUAAAUUACAACAAUGAAAAUUUUUCUGAUAACAUUUUUUUCUUUCAGGUGAGGCUGUGGACGCAGGCUAGACAGAUGGGAUGGUAUGCAGCGAAGUGCAUUGGCUGCAGCUAGUUUAGGAGAAUCUAUUGACAUGGGCUUUAGCUUUGAAAUUUUUGCUCCAGGAACAAAAGUUUUAAACUAUAGGUCGUAAUGCUGGGAAAAUAAAACGCACAGGGCUUAGGUUCAGAUCAUGAAUUAAUGCUGAGAUGUACCAAAGGACAAGAAUACGUCAAAGUUGUCAUGCAGAAUGGGCGAAUAAUGGGAGCUGUCUUAAUUGGUG